UACGGAGGAUCCAAGCGUUAUCCGGAUUUAUUGGGUUUAAAGGGUGCGUAGGUGGCCUGGUAAGUCAGGGGUGAAAGACGGUAGCUUAACUAUCGCAGUGCCUUUGAUACUGCAGGGCUUGAAUGUACUUGAGGUAGGCGGAAUGUGACAAGUAGCGGUGAAAUGCAUAGAUAUGUCACAGAACACCAAUUGCGAAGGCAGCUUACUAAAGUAUGAUUGACGCUGAGGCACGAAAGCGUGGGGAUCAAACAGG
rnacentral:rRNA from 1 species